rnacentral:rRNA from 1 species
GCUUAACACAUGCAAGUCGAGGGGCAGCAUGGUCUUAGCUUGCUAAGGCCGAUGGCGACCGGCGCACGGGUGAGUAACACGUAUCCAACCUGCCGUCUACUCUUGGACAGCCUUCUGAAAGGAAGAUUAAUACAAGAUGGCAUCAUGAGUCCGCAUGUUCACAUGAUUAAAGGUAUUCCGGUAGACGAUGGGGAUGCGUUCCAUUAGAUAGUAGGCGGGGUAACGGCCCACCUAGUCUUCGAUGGAUAGGGGUUCUGAGAGGAAGGUCCCCCACAUUGGAACUGAGACACGGUCCAAACUCCUACGGGAGGCAGCAGUGAGGAAUAUUGGUCAAUGGGCGAGAGCCUGAACCAGCCAAGUAGCGUGAAGGAUGACUGCCCUAUGGGUUGUAAACUUCUUUUAUAAAGGAAUAAAGUCGGGUAUGCAUACCCGUUUGCAUGUACUUUAUGAAUAAGGAUCGGCUAACUCCGUGCCAGCAGCCGCGGUAAUACGGAGGAUCCGAGCGUUAUCCGGAUUUAUUGGGUUUAAAGGGAGCGUAGAUGGAUGUUUAAGUCAGUUGUGAAAGUUUGCGGCUCAACCGUAAAAUUGCAGUUGAUACUGGAUAUCUUGAGUGCAGUUGAGGCAGGCGGAAUUCGUGGUGUAGCGGUGAAAUGCUUAGAUAUCACGAAGAACUCCGAUUGCGAAGGCAGCCUGCUAAGCUGCAACUGACAUUGAGGCUCGAAAGUGUGGGUAUCAAACAGGAUUAGAUACCCUGGUAGUCCACACGGUAAACGAUGAAUACUCGCUGUUUGCGAUAUACAGCAAGCGGCCAAGCGAAAGCGUUAAGUAUUCCACCUGGGGAGUACGCCGGCAACGGUGAAACUCAAAGGAAUUGACGGGGGCCCGCACAAGCGGAGGAACAUGUGGUUUAAUUCGAUGAUACGCGAGGAACCUUACCCGGGCUUAAAUUGCAGAUGAAUUACGGUGAAAGCCGUAAGCCGCAAGGCAUCUGUGAAGGUGCUGCAUGGUUGUCGUCAGCUCGUGCCGUGAGGUGUCGGCUUAAGUGCCAUAACGAGCGCAACCCUUGUUGUCAGUUACUAACAGGUUCCGCUGAGGACUCUGACAAGACUGCCAUCGUAAGAUGUGAGGAAGGUGGGGAUGACGUCAAAUCAGCACGGCCCUUACGUCCGGGGCUACACACGUGUUACAAUGGGGGGUACAGAGGGCCGCUACCACGCGAGUGGAUGCCAAUCCCAAAAACCUCUCUCAGUUCGGACUGGAGUCUGCAACCCGACUCCACGAAGCUGGAUUCGCUAGUAAUCGCGCAUCAGCCACGGCGCGGUGAAUACGUUCCCGGGCCUUGUACACACCGCCCGUCAAGCCAUGGGAGCCGGGGGUACCUGAAGUGCGUAACCGCGAGGAGCGCCCUAGGGUAAAACUGGUGACUGGGGCUAAGU